AGUGAACGCUGGCGGUAGGCCUAACACAUGCAAGUCGAACGGCAGCACAGUAAGAGCUUGCUCUUACGGGUGGCGAGUGGCGGACGGGUGAGGAAUACAUCGGAAUCUACUUUUUCGUGGGGGAUAACGUAGGGAAACUUACGCUAAUACCGCAUACGACCUACGGGUGAAAGCAGGGGAUCUUCGGACCUUGCGCGAUUGAAUGAGCCGAUGUCGGAUUAGCUAGUUGGCGGGGUAAAGGCCCACCAAGGCGACGAUCCGUAGCUGGUCUGAGAGGAUGAACAGCCACACUGGGACUGAGACACGGCCCAGACUCCUACGGGAGGCAGCAGUGGGGAAUUUUGGACAAUGGGCGAAAGCCUGAUCCAGCAAUGCCGCGUGGGUGAUGAAGGCCUUCGGGUUGUAAAGCCCUUUUGGGGGGAAAGAAAAGGACUGUGUUAAUACCCCGGUUUGAUGACGGUACCCAAAGAAUAAGCACCGGCUAACUUCGUG
rnacentral:rRNA from 1 species